UGCAGUCGAGCGGACUUUAAAAGCUUGCUUUUAAAGUUAGCGGCGGACGGGUGAGUAACACGUGGGCAACCUGCCUGUAAGACUGGGAUAACUUCGGGAAACCGGAGCUAAUACCGGAUAAUCCUUUUCUACACAUGUAGAAAAGCUGAAAGACGGUUUACGCUGUCACUUACAGAUGGGCCCGCGGCGCAUUAGCUAGUUGGUGAGGUAACGGCUCACCAAGGCAACGAUGCGUAGCCGACCUGAGAGGGUGAUCGGCCACACUGGGACUGAGACACGGCCCAGACUCCUACGGGAGGCAGCAGUAGGGAAUCUUCCGCAAUGGACGAAAGUCUGACGGAGCAACGCCGCGUGAGUGAUGAAGGUUUUCGGAUCGUAAAACUCUGUUGUUAGGGAAGAACAAGUACAAGAGUAACUGCUUGUACCUUGACGGUACCUAACCAGAAAGCCACGGCUAACUACGUGCCAGCAGCCGCGGUAAUACGUAGGUGGCAAGCGUUGUCCGGAAUUAUUGGGCGUAAAGCGCGCGCAGGCGGUCCUUUAAGUCUGAUGUGAAAGCCCACGGCUCAACCGUGGAGGGUCAUUGGAAACUGGGGGACUUGAGUGCAGAAGAGAAGAGUGGAAUUCCACGUGUAGCGGUGAAAUGCGUAGAGAUGUGGAGGAACACCAGUGGCGAAGGCGACUCUUUGGUCUGUAACUGACGCUGAGGCGCGAAAGCGUGGGGAGCAAACAGGAUUAGAUACCCUGGUAGUCCACGCCGUAAACGAUGAGUGCUAAGUGUUAGAGGGUUUCCGCCCUUUAGUGCUGCAGCAAACGCAUUAAGCACUCCGCCUGGGGAGUACGGCCGCAAGGCUGAAACUCAAAGGAAUUGACGGGGGCCCGCACAAGCGGUGGACCAUGUGGUUUAAUUCGAAGCAACGCGAAGAACCUUACCAGGUCUUGACAUCCUCUGACACUCCUAGAGAUAGGACGUUCCACUUCGGGGGACAGAGUGAC
rnacentral:rRNA from 2 species